GAUGAAGAACGUAGCGAAAUGCGAUACGUAAUGUGAAUUGCAGAAUUCAGUGAAUCAUCGAGUCUUUGAACGCACAUUGCGCCCCCUGGCAUUCCGGGGGGCAUGCCUGUCCGAGCGUCAUUUCUGCCCUCCAGCCCGGCUGGGUGUUGGGCGCCGUCCCCCCGGGGACACGCCCCAAAGGCAGUGGCGGCGCCGCGUCGGGUCCUCGAGCGUAUGGGGCUUUGUCACCCGCUCGGGACGGACUCGUCGGCGCUGGUCUUCCUCCAGGCGACCCUUCGGGGCUCGUCUUCCUUCGGUUGACCUCGGAUCAGGUAGGGUUACCCGCUGAACUUAAGCAUAUCAAUAAGCGGAGGA
rnacentral:misc_RNA from 1 species